GAUGAAGAACGCAGCGAAAUGCGAUAAGUAAUGUGAAUUGCAGAAUUCAGUGAAUCAUCGAAUCUUUGAACGCACAUUGCGCCCGCCAGUAUUCUGGCGGGCAUGCCUGUCUGAGCGUCAUUUCAACCCUCAUGCCCCUAGGGCGUGGUGUUGGGGAUCGGCCAAAGCCCGCGAGGGACGGCCGGCCCCUAAAUCUAGUGGCGGACCCGUCGUGGCCUCCUCUGCGAAGUAGUGAUAUUCCGCAUCGGAGAGCGAUGAGCCCCUGCCGUUAAACCCCCAACUUUCCAAGGUUGACCUCAGAUCAGGUAGGAAUACCCGCUGAACUUAAGCAUAUCAAUAAGCGGACGA
rnacentral:misc_RNA from 1 species